GAUCGCGCGAUACUGUUGCCCCGCGAGUUCGUUAAAAUAUAUCUUAUGGUGAAAGUAAGUGUCGGUACACUACUAUGUUUCUAAUCAUCGAUGCAUCUUAUGUAGUUAUAUCCGUUAAAAUGAAAAUCCAGCGCUCCGCUACUUCAUUAUUUGCAUUCAUUAAAUCUCUUACGGUUACAGGCAAGAGAAAGGAAACAAGAAAGCGUAGAAAUAAUAUUGCAAUUCAGCCAUUCUGUUCUCGUGUUCUUUAUCUGCGAAAGACGUCUCAUCAAAAAUCAACCUAUUACUAAUCAAAUUACUAAUAUGAUACUUAUAGUAAUGUGACAUCAAUUGCACGUGCCAAAGGAAUUGCUUCGUUACGCUACACUAUGUUAUGACAUCACUGUUCUCUCAAAACCUUGUCCGACCGGUGAAGCUUGCGUAAGUACGUAAAAAUUUUACAUUGAACCAGGUAAACUUCGACCGACGAUGCUAUCGAACAUUACGUUCAAGAUAGAAUCAAAUUUUCUUGUGGUAUCGUACGUUUAUCGUGUAAUGUUCGAUUUCAAAAUUCGAUUUCGAGAUAUAACCUUCACCACAUUUACCUUGCCGAAUUUUUGUAUUGUCAAUCACUCGAACUUUGGCAUAUUCCACAAUAUUAAUUAAGAUUUGACAGACGCUAACAGACGUGGUUCUAGACGACUUAACAGGAUAAUUGCUUAUGAUCGAUGGAAAUCAUUCUAACCUCAACACAAGCGCUUUUCGAGACCGUUGGAACUUGGAACACACGAUUGUGAUGAAUACAAGCAUGUAUCUAUCCAUCCACGGGCCCCGCACUGUACAACUUCCUUUAUAACCUAAAUAAUAUAUCUUAAACAAAAUGAAAGACUAAUAAACAAAAAUA
rnacentral:lncRNA from 1 species